AGCUUGAAGUUUUUAUUUUAAGUGAUUUCUGCCCACUGCUACAGGUAAAAGGCCGCAGUACUUUGACUGUGCUAAGGUAGCGAAAUCAAUAGACUUUUAAUUGGAGCCCAGUAUGAAAGAAAUAACGGAAAGUAACUGUUUCUUUUUAUAUAUAACUUUAUUAAAAGGUGAAAAUGCCUUUAAAUAGAAGACAGACGAGAAGACCCUGGGAUCUUUUAGUUAAGCUUUUUGUUGGGGCAACAUUACUAAAGUAACAUACAAAAGUUAUUAAUAUGCCAGAAAAGGAAUGAAUAAGAUACCCCAGGGAUAACAGCAUAAUUAAAGAUUGGCUUGUGACCUCGAUGUUGGACUAGGGAUUUUAUGGCUAGCCGCCAAAAAUGAGUGUUCUGUUCGAACGUUUUCCCCUACAU
rnacentral:rRNA from 1 species